UAUUGCACGGGGUGCAAUAGUUCUAAUAUCAACCAUUGAUCUAAUCCAAUAGUUGUAAAGGAUUGCCAUGUCAUCGAUCCAUGUCUCAUUAUUUUUUUUCUCCACUUUCUCCCACUCCACUUCUCUUUCUCUUUCACUUCCUCUUUCAGAUUCACCAAAUUUCAAAAAAUUUCUCUCUUCCACCAAACCUUGCCGUUCGUGGGACACAGGCGUCGAAUCUCCAUGAUCAUGGCUACAAAUGGAAGCUUCUGAGGCUCACACGACCACCACCAGCGGUGCUUGCCGGCCUGACCUUCUCCUCUCCCAACGUCUCCCUGUUUUCUCGUUCUCUCAAGUCUAGCUGUGGCCAAGCUUCUGGUUGCCCCUUCUCUGGCAGUGCUUCUCAGCGGCAUCACCAACGUUGGUGGCCGACGGUCUUGAGGGAGAUCAUCAGAUUGUGAAAUGCACCAGGAUGCUCCCCCAAUAGGCUGAUUCUUUUCAUUUCAUAGCUAACAAGAGAGGGAUCUAGGCUCUAGCUAAGGUGAUGAACAGAGUUAACGGUUGAUUCGUUUCACUUCCUACACCAAGAAGACUGUCAAGUUCUUGUUUUUUCAAUUUCAAUUGGCCAAUUCCAUUUCCAAUCUUGACUAUGGGGAAUCCAAGAAUCAACUAAUGGCUUUGUCAACAAUAAUGUAUCUUGUAUUUAUCAGCAUGUAUCUUCUGCAAACGGGGAAAAAAAAUAGAAUGAAAUGGACUUGUUCUGGCCAGGGUGUUGUGUUUUUGCCUCCUGUUGUUGCUACGGAAUUGAAUAGCUGAACAAGUUUUUGCAUCUUCAUAUUA